rnacentral:snoRNA from 1 species
CAAUGAUGAGAUUCAAGCUGGCACCAGUCCUAGAAAGACUUGUACUCUUUUUGAUGCGGAUCAGCUUUUGCAUAUUAAAUGUUCUUCUGAG